rnacentral:lncRNA from 1 species
UUUUAGACAUACAGCCUUUGUUGGGGAAGUUAAGCUCAGUGAAAGAUGGAGUAAAAGUGGCUCCAGAAGAGAGAAAAUGAGGGGAGAGAGAUUGAUGCUUGGAAUGAAGAAGAGAAUGCACUAAGGACAGAUCUGUUCCACUGGACUGAGUUAAUGGGAAAUGGCUUCCAUGGAUGACAGAGACCAGCACAGCUCUUCAGAAGGCACUGAGUGUGGCUUAUGGAAACUACAGGUCUGAUGUGGCCAAGCUGGCAGACUGUGCAGACUUCCUUCAUGAGGGACAUCUCUCUAGUUUGCCCUGAGAAGCAGUGUCUGACAGGUGUUCAAUCAUGGCAUCAUGUGUAGCAGAAAGAACAGCCACAAAUAUGGAAAUCACCAUACACAAAAAAACCAUGCUGAACUUCAAUUUACUGAAAUCACAUAAAACUUCAUCAUUUUGCAUAAUCUAGUGGAUGAACAUGGGGGUGAAGGAAUGAGUGUGAACACUUAAUGAUCAAAUACAGACUGGAAUUGAAAAUACUCUAAAGACAGUUGACAGUUCUUACAUUCAAGAAUUUCUGAAACACUUGAGAACAGAUCUGUCCUGAAUGCCUUGCAGAUGCAAUACCAUACAGUCCUAGAUUUCUGGUCUCCAUGGGUCUUGGAACUGCUGUUUCAUCCACUAAGAAUCAUCUUCUGUGGUCUUCAAAUUAGUUUUACUUGGACUGCAGCUGCUAUGUCUGAAGCUGUGAAAGGCCAUAAGAUUAAAAGAAAGAAAAAAAAUGUGACCAAGCAUUCCUUAUAAAAAGGGAAAUAGAAAAAGUAAGGUAAGUAGGACUUAGGGUGCGUGUAGUAAUAGGUGCUAAUAUAAUGAAUAUAUAUCUCCUUUGGCUAACAUCCAACAUGUUUUAUUUUUAGAGGAUCUCAUUAGGUGGCUGCCAGUACUUCUCACUAUGGAAAUUGAGGAAAGCCAGUUAUUUCUUCACCCCAUCUAUGGCAGCCAGAGUGUGCUCACAUGAUUUCAACUCUCCCAUUAGGAGACCUCUGCCUGGGAACUUGCCCCUUCAGCAGCAGACGUGGAGCUGUGAGGUUUAAAGGGACGGCUGUGGCAAGAAAUAAGAGGAGGGACAUUGUGAUCUCCAACAAUGGCCAAGGCACAGAUAUGAAGAAACAUAGAGCUUGUUUAAGAAGAAACAGCUGGAGCCAGUUUAUUAACUAAUUUGAAAUCUUGGAUUUGGGAGGUACUUGUAAGGAAGAACAGAAGGGGAAACUAGCAUGAUAUGAAAGAAGACAAGAGAACUUCCUAACAACGAGAUAUAAUAUUUAUCAAUUUGCCCAAGGAUUACUUCCUCAAAGAAACUUGUGGCUAGAAAUAGAC